rnacentral:misc_RNA from 1 species
AAUGUCGUAACAAGGUUUCCGUAGGUGAACCUGCGGAAGGAUCAUUUAGAAGGUAAUUGGUUAUACAUAUCCUGUAUCAACUGCGCAAAGCCCAUUCCGAGUACCCUUGCCUGUUGCUUCCAUGGGGCCUGACUUUGGUCACCUUGUGAUGCGAAUCCCAAGAGAGUCCCCAUGGGGGGGUUAAUAUUAAAUUCUGAAUCCAAUGUCUUCUGUCUGAAAUGUUAAAAAAUCAAAGUGUUAAAAC